UAGGGAAUCUUCGGCAAUGGGGGGAACCCUGACCGAGCAACGCCGCGUGAGUGAAGAAGGUUUUCGGAUCGUAAAGCUCUGUUGUUAAGGAAGAACGAGUGUGAGAAUGGAAAGUUCAUACUGUGACGGUACUUAACCAGAAAGGGACGGCUAACUACGUGCCAGCAGCCGCGGUAAUACGUAGGUCCCGAGCGUUGUCCGGAUUUAUUGGGCGUAAAGCGAGCGCAGGCGGUUAGAUAAGUCUGAAGUUAAAGGCAGUGGCUCAACCAUUGUCGGCUUUGGAAACUGUUUAACUUGAGUGCAGAAGGGGAGAGUGGAAUUCCGUGUGUAGCGGUGAAAUGCGUAGAUAUAUGGAGGAACACCGGUGGCGAAAGCGGCUCUCUGGUCUGUAACUGACGCUGAGGCUCGAAAGCGUGGGGAGCGAACAGG
rnacentral:rRNA from 1 species